UCCACGCUGUAAACGAUGAUCACUCGCUGUUGGCGAUACACUGUCAGCGGCUAAGCGAAAGUGAUAAGUGAUCCACCUGGGGAGUACGUUCGCAAGAAUGAAACUCAAAGGAAUUGACGGGGGCCCGCACAAGCGGAGGAGCAUGUGGUUUAAUUCGAUGAUACGCGAGGAACCUUACCAGGGCUCGAACGCAGGGGGAAUUACGGGGAAACCCGUAAGCCAGCAAUGGCCGCCUGCGAGGUGCUGCAUGGUUGUCGUCAGCUCGUGCCGUGAGGUGUUAGGUUAAGUCCUGUAACGAGCGCAACCCCUAUUCUUAGUUGCCAGCAUGUAAUGAUGGGGACUCUAAGAAAACUGCCUGCGCAAGCAGAGAGGAAGGUGGGGAUGACGUCAAAUCAGCACGGCCCUUAUGUCCUGGGCUACACACGUGCUACAAUGGUCGAUACAGAGGGCAGCUACACUGCGAAGUGAUGCAAAUCUCGAAAGUC
rnacentral:rRNA from 1 species